ACCGCGAUAACUCCGCCCCCGCCUCCUCGCUCCUCCCCCGCUGCCAUAGCCCGCCGCCUCCUCGCUCCUCCUCGCCGCCCGCCCCACGAAUCCCCGCGCCUCCUAGCUUCUCCUCCGCGCCCGCGAAUCCCCGCCGCCUCCUCGCUCCGCGCGCAUCCUCCCUCCUCGCGACGGGGCAGCGAGGUCGUCCCCUUCCGCUGCCACCCCCGCUGCCCACGCCGGAGACGAGGUCGUCCCCAGCCACCGCCGGAGCCGUGGUCUUCCCCGGAGCCGACGUCGUCCCCAGUUGCCGCCGGAGCCGAGUUCUUCCCCAUCCGCAUUGGAUCUGAAUGCACCACAUAUCUUCCCCUCUGGAAAUUAUUAUUUUUGGAUGAAAUUGACGGAAUACCAAUGGCUAUUGCAACAAGUCCCUUCAGCGACAUCUGGAAACCUAGGAUCUCACCUACAAAAAUAGGAAUCCAGGAGUUGGAGCCAUUCGAACAUGCAGCAUGUCUCUUGCUAAUGUCUUCCUGAGCUUUCAAAUCAUAAGGCCCUUGCCUCACUGAUCAAAAUAUUCAGGUCACUAGAGGUUCUAAUUUGCUUGCAAUCCUUAUGGUUUCCACUCAUCACAGUGAUAAGGCACCAUAUUCUUAUGGCCAGUGCUUCUAUGUUCUGAGCUUACUGGUAUCCAUAUUUUUAAGCACUCUAUUUCUUUGCUCUGGUUUCUUUUUUUGCAACCAGUUUCUGAUGGAACAUUUCUUAUGGCUAGAAAUUGUCACGUAAUCUUCAAUGCGCUCUAGAAAUUUCAGAUUGAGCUAUUUGAAUUUUGCUAUGUUAAUUUGAAUAAUACAGUAUUCCAAAGCGGCAGUGGAUCAUUAUAACCAACUACCACAAACUAUUCAAUUGCAGAAUUUCUGCAUUCCAAUUUUUGCAUUUCUCAAUUUAAUCAUGUAUUUUGGUUUGAGUAAUUGCAAAGUAAAAUUGAUUUUGUAAUUGUAAAAAUGAAUGAAUUUUCUGGACAACAUUUAAUGUGAUUUUAUCAAAACACAAUGAACCUUUUAAUUUGUCCGUAUAGUUCUGUUUUCUUUUAUUUUCAAAAGUAAGAUCCUCAGUAUAAGCUUUUGUUUGUGGAUCUCUUAAUAAUGAAUAUUGGGGGUCCAAUCCUCUCUUGCUCCACCGUUGGACCAGUAGUAGCAGCAGGUUGGAAGCUGGUGAACACGAUCUCAGGGAAGGACACAAUGGCGGCUUCGUACGAUCUCACAUAUGACAAUUCUAUCAUUGCCUUAGAUUUUACCAACCAAAGAUGCAAGGGGUACUCAUUCUUUUGAUUUUGUCCAGAUGGACAGCUCCAGUCCAUAACAUUCUAUCUACACAGUCAACGACUCAGUUAAUAAUAAAACUGAAAAAAUGUUCUCUUUUAUUUUUAAAUAAGAUUUUCACACAACCUGAAAGUAAGAUAUCAAAGGAGCACUGGCCUGAUAUAAAUGAUUUUUUUUCUGACGAAUGUGGACUACCAAUGUAAUGCACAUGCCUAAGAUAUUUAAGGUUUUCUUUUUUCUGCAGUACUUAAAGACUUGUAUUUUGUAAUAUUGUAGGUUAAAUCUCAACUUCUGAUGUAUCUCAAGUGUAAAUAUGGUCAUUGUCAUAUUGCUAAUAUUUUGGAUUUAAUCAAAUAAAUGAUGACCAUUGCUGCCC
rnacentral:lncRNA from 1 species